GAUGAACGCUGGCGGCGUGCCUAAUACAUGCAAGUCGAGCGAACAGACGAGGAGCUUGCUCCUCUGACGUUAGCGGCGGACGGGUGAGUAACACGUGGAUAACCUACCUAUAAGACUGGGAUGACUUCGGGAAACCGGAGCUAAUACCGGAUAAUAUAUUGAACCGCAUGGUUCAAUAGUGAAAGACGGUUUUGCUGUCACUUAUAGAUGGAUCCGCGCCGCAUUAGCUAGUUGGUAAGGUAACGGCUUACCAAGGCAACGAUGCGUAGCCGACCUGAGAGGGUGAUCGGCCACACUGGAACUGAGCCACGGUCCAGACUCCUACGGGAGGCAGCAGUAGGGAAUCUUCCGCAAUGGGCGAAAGCUUGACGGAGCAACGCCGCGUGAGUGAUGAAGGUCUUCGGAUCGUAAAACUCUGUUAUUAGGGAAGAACAAAUGUGUAAGUAACUAUGCACGUCUUGACGGUACCUAAUCAGAAAGCCACGGCUAACUACGUG
rnacentral:rRNA from 1 species